AACGUAGGACGCGAGCGUUAUCCGGAGUUACUGGGCGUAAAGCGCGGGCAGGCGGUCUGACAAGUCUGAUGUGAAAUCUCCGGGCUUAACCGGGAGAGGCCAUUGGAAACUGACAGGCUGGAGGGCAGUAGAGGUAGGCGGAAUUCCGGGUGGAGUGGUGAAAUGCGUAGAGAUCCGGAGGAACACCAGAGGCGAAGGCGGCCUACUGGGCUGCACCUGACGCUGAGCCGCGAAAGCCAGGGGAGCGAACGAG
rnacentral:rRNA from 1 species